GACAGAGGUGCCAAGCGUUAGGCGGAAUCACUGGGCUUAAAGCGUGUGUAGGCGGGUCGUUAAGUGUCUUGUGAAAUCCCCCGGCUCAACCGGGGAAUGGCUGGGCAUACUGGCGAUCUUGAGCAGUCUAGGGGCAGAUGGAACAGACGGUGGAGCGGUGAAAUGCGUAGAUAUCGUCUGGAACGCCGAAGGUGAAGACAGUCUGCUGGGGACUUGUUGACGCUGAGACACGAAAGCCAGGGGAGCGAACGGG
rnacentral:rRNA from 1 species